AUGGACAUCGGUUUGUACAAGCGUGCCAGAGCAACGAGGCACAAGGCGGCGAUGCCAUUCUACCCCCGGUCGCCAGCGGCGGCGGCCCCUGCCGCACCGGUCCAGGCAGGCAACGCCAUGGCCGCUGACGCCCCGCCGCCGGGGGUGAUCACUGUGCAGGUGAUGGCGCCUGGCAACAGCAAGCACUGCAACGGACCAGGAGGCGACGCUGACGUUGACCGCCGUGCCGCCUUGUACAUAUCGAUGGUGCAGGAGCGGCUCAAGCGCGAGGGCAUGCACAAGCGCUGA
rnacentral:rRNA from 1 species